rnacentral:rRNA from 1 species
UACAGAGGGUGCAAGCGUUAAUCGGAAUUACUGGGCGUAAAGCGUGCGUAGACGGUUAUUUAAGUCAGGUGUGAAAGCCCCGGGCUCAACCUGGGAAUUGCAUUUGAGACUGAAUAGCUAGGGUGCGGAAGAGGGAAGCGGAAUUUCCGGUGUAGCGGUGAAAUGCGUAGAUAUCGAAAGGAACACCAGUGGCGAAAGCGGCUUCCUGGUCCAGCACCGACGUUCAGGCACGAAAGCGUGGGGAGCAAACAGG